rnacentral:rRNA from 1 species
CCUACGGGUGGCAGCAGUGGGGAAUAUUGCGCAAUGGGCGAAAGCCUGACGCAGCGACGCCGCGUGAGGGAUGAAGGUCUUCGGAUCGUAAACCUCUGUCAGCAGGGAAGAACGGUCACUGUGCUAAUCAGCAGUGCAUUGACGGUACCUGCAAAGGCAGCACCGGCUAACUCCGUGCCAGCAGCCGCGGUAAUACGGAGGGUGCGAGCGUUAAUCGGAAUUACUGGGCGUAAAGCGCUCGUAGGCGGUAUGUCAAGUCAAGGGUGAACUCCCCACGCUCAACGUGGGAACGGCCUUUGAAACUGGCAAACUGGAGUGUGUGAGAGGAUAGUGGAAUUCCAGGUGUAGGAGUGAAAUCCGGAGAUAUCUGGAGGAACAUCAGUGGCGAAGGCGACUAUCUGGCACAUAACUGACGCUGAGGAGCGAAAGCGUGGGUAGCAAACAGGAUUAGAUACCCCAGUAGUC